rnacentral:rRNA from 1 species
GCAAGUCGAACGCCAGCGAAAGGUGCUUGCACCUUUCAAGUGAGUGGCGAACCGGUGAGUAACACGUGGACAACCUGCCUCAAGGCUGGGGAUAACAUUUGGAAACAGAUGCUAAUACCGAAUGAAACUUAGUGUCGCAUGACACGAAGUUAAAAGGCGCUUUGGCGUCACCUAGAGAUGGAUCCGCGGUGCAUUAGUUAGUUGGUGGGGUAAAGGCCUACCAAGACAAUGAUGCAUAGCCGAGUUGAGAGACUGAUCGGCCACAUUGGGACUGAGACACGGCCCAAACUCCUACGGGAGGCUGCAGUAGGGAAUCUUCCACAAUGGGCGAAAGCCUGAUGGAGCAACGCCGCGUGUGUGAUGAAGGCUUUCGGGUCGUAAAGCACUGUUGUAUGGGAAGAACAGCUAGAAUAGGGAAUGAUUUUAGUUUGACGGUACCAUACCAGAAAGGGACGGCUAAAUACGUGCCAGCAGCCGCGGUAAUACGUAUGUCCCGAGCGUUAUCCGGAUUUAUUGGGCGUAAAGCGAGCGCGGACGGUUGAUUAAGUCUGAUGUGAAAGCCCGGAGCUCAACUCCGGAAUGGCAUUGGAAACUGGUUAACUUGAGUGCAGUAGAGGUAAGUGGAACUCCAUGUGUAGCGGUGGAAUGCGUAGAUAUAUGGAAGAACACCAGUGGCGAAGGCGGCUUACUGGACUGUAACUGACGUUGAGGCUCGAAAGUGUGGGUAGCAAACAGGAUUAGAUACCCUGGUAGUCCACACCGUAAACGAUGAACACUAGGUGUUAGGAGGUUUCCGCCUCUUAGUGCCGAAGCUAACGCAUUAAGUGUUCCGCCUGGGGAGUACGACCGCAAGGUUGAAACUCAAAGGAAUUGACGGGGACCCGCACAAG